GCCGAGCUUAGUAGCGUGGGCUUGUUACUCAAGUGGGGGCAUUAAUGUGGUGGAAUGUUGGGCUGUCCCAGAUGGUUGGGCUUGGUAGGCUAGUUUCUGGCCUGCCCUAUCCAAGCUCAGAGUUGGAUCAUGGGGCCUGAUCGAAAGAAUGGGCUUGUUGGUCCCUAAAGCGGGGUGGACUGCGUAAGGCUGGUUUCACAGAGCAACGAAUAGCUCCCGCUCUGUGCAGUGGAAGGACAACGGGCUGGUGUCUUUCAAGUCCAGUAACACCUGAUGGGCUGCUCCAAUUAAACCACCACUUUU
rnacentral:SRP_RNA from 1 species